rnacentral:rRNA from 1 species
CAGGGAUUAGUGGCGAACGGGUGAGUAACACGUGAGUAACCUGCCCUUGACUCUGGGAUAAGCGCUGGAAACGGCGUCUAAUACCGGAUACGAGCUUCAGCCGCAUGGCUAGGAGCUGGAAAGAAUUUCGGUCAAGGAUGGACUCGCGGCCUAUCAGCUAGUUGGUGAGGUAAUGGCUCACCAAGGCGACGACGGGUAGCCGGCCUGAGAGGGUGACCGGCCACACUGGGACUGAGACACGGCCCAGACUCCUACGGGAGGCAGCAGUGGGGAAUAUUGCACAAUGGGCGAAAGCCUGAUGCAGCAACGCCGCGUGAGGGACGACGGCCUUCGGGUUGUAAACCUCUUUUAGUAGGGAAGAAGCGAAAGUGACGGUACCUGCAGAAAAAGCACCGGCUAACUACGUGCCAGCAGCCGCGGUAAUACGUAGGGUGCAAGCGUUGUCCGGAAUUAUUGGGCGUAAAGAGCUCGUAGGCGGUUUGUCGCGUCUGCUGUGAAAACUGGGGGCUCAACCCCCAGCCUGCAGUGGGUACGGGCAGACUAGAGUGCGGUAGGGGAGAUUGGAAUUCCUGGUGUAGCGGUGGAAUGCGCAGAUAUCAGGAGGAACACCGAUGGCGAAGGCAGAUCUCUGGGCCGCUACUGACGCUGAGGAGCGAAAGCGUGGGGAGCGAACAGGAUUAGAUACCCUGGUAGUCCACGCCGUAAACGUUGGGAACUAGAUGUGGGGGCCAUUCCACGGUCUCCGUGUCG